GACAAGCGACUGUACAGUUUGUUAUUGAGACGAUAGCCCUGAGGAUAGGAGAGAGAAUCAUGAGUCACCUUCCAAACAGGUUUGAACUGGUGUGAGAUAAUGGUACAAACAUAUUUUAGAAACUGGUCUAAACUAGCCUGUAAGAAAGAGUGGUAGGUGUGGAUUCAAAAAAAGACCGUCACAUGCUAAGGAGAAAGGGAGCUGGACUAACAAGAAACUGUGGCUGCAACUGCCUGCGAAACAAAUACCAUGAGGAUUCACUAUGGAGGCAGCUUUGCCCAAAGAAGAAGGUCAGAGACAGAACUUUGCAGCCAUGCUGCAAACUGACUUUGCAAUGAGUGACAAGUAUGGUGCAGUAAAUCGUUGGUGGAAUAUUUAUGAGAAGGAAAACUGACUUCUGACCAUAAGGAUGGCAGAAGCAGCGCAGAAGGAAUAACCUAGACCCUGGCUGAAAGGCAGAGAGAAAGCCUGAAGAUGAGGCAAAAGACUAGAUUUGGUGACAAAAACAACUUUGAAUUUCUCUUCCCUUUCAAUAACUUGCAGUUCAUACAGUCAAUGAUGACUGCUGUAUUUGAGAGAGUUCAUUUCCUGUAUUGAUGGCCAAAGGAUUUAACUGAGUCUACAAGACCAAGAAAUUAUGCUAAGUAAAAAUGCAUUAGCAACUCUUGUGUACAGCAAACAAUUCUGGAAGCAACACAUUUUUCAGGAUGAGGGAAUAAUUCAAGUCACUCAUAGAAACUGACUGCAGGACUCUGAGUCGCCUAAAAGAUGAGGGAGUGGAUUUAUGUUUGUCUAGGUAUAGCUGAAUCACUUGAAUCCCACUCAUUGCCUCAAGGAAGAAAGGUUAUUCUGCAGAAUGGCUCAUCCCGGUAGGUGGGAUAGAACCAAUAAUUUUAUUUGUUCUGAGUCUAUAGUGCACUUCAUCCCAAAGAAUUCCAGAGCCUUCAGAUAAACUCUACAAAGGAAUCCCAGCCUCUGUAAAAGUGCUGUGGCAUGAGUCCAAAGCACUGCCUUUUACAGUAGUGUUAUUGCAGUGGGGGGAGGGAUAGCUCAGUGGUUUGAGGAUUGGCCUGCUAAACCCAUCGUUGUGAGUUCACAUUUAGGGAUCUGGAGCAAAAAUCUAUCUGGGGAUUGGUCCUGCUUUGAGACUAGAUGACCUCCUGAGGUCCCUUCCAAUCCUGAUAUUCUAUGAAGGAGGAAUUUUAGGCCAGGACUAACCCAUCAGAGGCACUGUAAUUUCUACUAUUACACAGAAAGUGUCUAGAGAGCUCUGCUGUCCCUGUGAGAUGCCUGGUUUGGAGGUUUCCUCUUCAAACCAUUAUCAAGAAAACAGCAUGAAACUCAUCUGCUUUGAAAAAACAAAGGUCUGAGCUGACCCCAUGGAGAUUUGAACUCAUGAUUUAAGGAAAUCUAUUGUAAGUACUUCAUACUUGAUGCUUAGAUCACAAAAUUACUGUAAACAAUAAAGAACACAAGGAGGCAAUAGAAACAUAACAAACUUCUGUAAUAGUCUGCUCCUUUGGGCUUAGCAAUAGGAACUGGGACAAGAACAGGAGCUUACCCCUUUCUAAGCAAAGCUGCCAUUUCUCUGUUCCUAACCCAACUCCAAUUUAGCAUUCCCUAGUCAUACAACCCAGUAGAGUGCCCUAGUUCUCAGUGCUGCACCAUGAACUGUGGAAUAUGUGCUGCUGGUUUGCAGAGAUCACACUUCUCAAAACGGCUAAGUGAGGGGUGAAGUGCUGUGAUCUCCCCAGAGACUUCUUAGGUAGGGAUCAAAAUGGGAAGAGCUCAUGUUGUGUGGGAAGUGUCAUCUUAAUGCUGCAUUUCCUGUUUUUCUCAUGUAGUGCUACAUGUCUUGUAGAGGACCUUAGCGCUGCAUUUCUUGGUUUCUCAGAUGUUUUGGGAAUUAUCACAUUCUGAAAGGGUACAAGGAGCACAGGCAGAGCUGAGUUACUACAACCUUAACUCCAUGUUAAAGAUUUUUGCUUAUGAAAUUGUGUUUGGUGCCCAUUGGAUGCUGAUAGUCACAUUUGCUAUUGCACACUUCUGAAAAAGUGUUACUGUGAAAUGCCUAAUAAAAAGUUACUAACGUGAUCAGGGAAGAGGAAAAAUAAGCAGAAUGUUUGGCUGCCUAUUUAAUAAAAUAUGAGAACCCAAUUAAACUAGCUGGGUAUAAGCAAUAAAAAAAUGAAGCUGACAGAUAAGCAAGGUGUGCAUUUAAAUCCAUUAAGAGAAUGAAGCUAUUCUUUACAGUCACUGAAACCAGUGACAGAAACACCUGUCUGAGGUAAGCCAGUACUCCGCAAUACUUCACAGUGAUCUUAUGAGAAAAGCUGCUGUCCUAAUUGAUUAUUAACUAGUAAAUUCCUGCACAAAGUGUUCUAAUGCAAAACUCAACUUUCUCUCCCCACCCUCCAGAUUCAGUAAUGAAGAUGCAAAUUGUUGUUUAAUAUUCAACUGCUGCUUCCUGUGAAGGUAUAUCUCACAAGAAUUAACUUACCUUUAAAUGCAACACCUUAUUAAAUAGUGUAGAUGUAUGGUAUUGUGAAUGGAAUUUCUGGCCAAGGAUGAAAACCAUGAUCUGACUGCAUACCUGUUUACAAUGAUAUGCACAAGUAUGAUGGGUUAAAGGAUUUACCUGAGGCCAGACUGACAUCCAUAAGAUAUUUAAGUAUUUUUGUUUUUAAAUUAACCCUUUUAUUAUUAGUAUUUGCACUUCUGAUAGUGAAAGCAUAACAGAUUUAUGUUGUUUUACAUUGUUUUAAAAUAUUUUUCUGUUAGGAUACCUAGUUGUAAACUGUUAUUUGCUUGCAAGACUAGCAAAUGGAACUUCCGGAUCUGAAAAAUAAAUUGCUAUAACAGCUGGUAUAAAGAUUAUACAGGAUUAAGUAGAGCACAUUUAUUUUCAGCUAUGUUUUUGCUAUGAACUAGAAAAGUGCAGACAAACCUUGACUACCCUGUAGGCCUAAAGACAACUUUGUUAGUUAGUGUUUAUACCAACCCCACUCUUGGUGUAGUGUAUUGACAUAACUCACUUUAAAAACAACUGUGUAAAUAAAGCACUGCAAUUGA